rnacentral:lncRNA from 1 species
GAGGCCGCUCACAAAGUCUCGCGGCAUUCCGAGUCCGGCGGACGAAGUUGGCCAGCCCCACCCCCCAAGGCUAUAGCCCACCCGUUUUUGUGGCCUUUUUCCGCUGGACAAACUUGGCGACCCGGUUUUCGGGGGAUUAUUUUUCAGCGUAGCUGUGCCCGCGGCCUAUUUUUGGCAAACGGAGGCCGCUCGCAAAGUCUCGCGCCAUUCCGAGUCCGGCGGACGAAGUUGGCCAGCCCCACCCCCCAAGGCAAUAGCCCACCCAUUUUUGUGGCCUUUUUCCGCUGGACGAACUUGGCGCCCCGGCCUUCGGGCUGUUAAUUUUGGGAACGGCUGUGCCCGCCGCCUAUUUUUGGCACAUGGAGCCCGCUCACAAAGUCGCGCGCCAUUCUGAGUCCGGCGGAUGAAGUUGGCCAUCCCCACCCCCCAAGGCUAUAGCCCACCCGUUUUUGUGGCCUUUUUCCGCUAGACGAACUUGGCGCCCCGGCCUUCGGGCGUUUGUUUUUGGGCGCGGCUGUGCCCGCGGCCUAUUUCGGGCACAUGGAGGCCGCUCGCAUAGUCUCGCGCCAUUCCGAGUCCGGCGGACGAAGUUGGCCAGCCCCAGCCCCGAAGGCUAUAGCCCACCCGUUUUUGUGGCCUUUUUCCGCUGGACGAACUUAGCGCCCCGGCCUUCGGGCGGUUAUUUUUGGGCAAGGCUGUGCCGGCGGCCUAUUUUUGGCACAUGGAGCCUGCUCGCAAAGUCUCGCGCCAUUCCGAGUCCGGCGGUCGAAGUUGGCCAGCCCCACCCCCCAAGGCUAUAGCCCACCCGUUUUUGUGGCCUUUUUCCGCUGGAAGAACUUGGCGCCGCGCCCUUCGGGUGGUUAUUUUUGGGCGCGGCUGUGCCCGCGGCCUAUUUUUGGCACACGGAGGCCGCUCGUAAAGUCUCGUGGCAUUCUGAGUCCGGCGGACGAAGUUGGCCAGCCCCACCCCCCAAGGCUACAGCCCACCCGUUUUUGUGGCCUUUUUCCGCUGGACGAACUUUACGCCCCGGCCUUCGGGGGGGUUAUUUUUGGGCGCGGCUUUGCCCGCGGCAUAUUUUUGGCACACGGAGGCCCCUCACAAAGACUCGCGGCAUUCCGAGUCCGGCGGACAAAGUUGGCCUGCCCCACCCCCCAAGGCUAUAGCCCACCCGUUUUUGUGGCCUUUUUCUGCUGGACGAACUUGGCGCCCCGGCCUUCGGGCGGUUAUUUUUCGGCGCGGCUGUGUUUGCGGCCUAUUUUUGUUACACGGAGGCCGCUCGCAAAGUCUCGCGCCAUUCCGGGUCCGGCGGUCGAAGUUGGGCAGCCCCACCCCCCAAGGCUAUAGCCGACCCAUUUUUGUGGCCUUUUUCCAAUGGACGAACUUGGCGCCCCGGCCUUCGGGCGUUUAUUUUUGGGCCUGGCUGUGUCCGCGGCGUAUUUUUGGCACAUGGAGCCUGCUCGCAAAGUCUCGCGCCAUUCCGAGUCCGGCGGACGAAGUGGGCCAGCCCCACCCCCCAAGGCUAUAGCCCACCCGUUUUUGUGGCCUUUUUCCGCUCGACGAACUUGGCGCCCCGACCUUCGGGCGGGUAUUUUUGGCCGCGGCUGUGCCCACGGCCUAUUUUUGGCACACGGAGGCCGCUCGCAAAGUCUCGUGCCAUUCCGAGUCCGGCGGACGAAGUUGGCCAGCCCCACCCCCCAAGGCUAUAGCCCACCCGUUUUUGUGGCCUUUUUCCGCUGGACAAACUUGGCGCCCCGGUUUUCGGGCAGUUAUUUUUGGGCGUAGCUGUUCCCGCGGCCUAUUUUUGGCAAACGGAGGCCGCUCGCAAAGUCUCGCGCCAUUCCGAGUCCGGCGGACGAAGUUGGCAAGCCCCACCCCCCAAGGCUAUAGCCCACCCGUUUUUGUGGCCUUUUUCCGCUGCACGAACUUGGCGCCCUGGCCUUCGGUCGGUUAUUUUUGGGCGCGGCUGUGCCCACGGCCUAUUUUUGGCACACGAAGGCCGCUCGCAAAGUCUCGCACCAUUCCGAGUCCGGCGGACAAAGUUGGCCAGCCCCACCCCCCAAGGCUAUAGCCCACCCGUUUUUGUGGCCUUUUUCCGCUGGACAAACUUGGCGCCCCGGCCUUCGGGCGGUUUUUUUUUGGGCGCGGCUGAGCCCGCGGCCUAUUUUUGGCACACGGAGGCCGCUCACAAAGUCUCGCACCAUUGCGAGUCCGGCAGACGAAGUUGGCCAGCCCCACCCCCCAAGGCUAUAGCCCAACCGUUUUUGUGGGCUUUUUCCGCUGGACGAACUGGGUGCCCCGGCCUUCGGGCGGUUAUUUUUGGGUUCGGCUGUGCCCGCGGCCUAGGUUUGGCACACGGAGGCGCCUUGCAAAGUCUCACGCCAUUCCGAGUCCAGCGGACGAAGUUGGCCAGCCCCACCCCCCAAGGAAAUAGCCCACCCGUUUUUGUGGCCUUUUUCCGCUGGACGAACUUGGCGCCCCGGCCUUCGGCCAGUUAUUUUUGGGCGCGGCUGUGCCCGCGCCCUAUUUUUAGCACACGGAGGUACCUCGCAAUGUCUCGCGCCAUUCCGAGUCCGGUGGACGAAGUUGGCCAGCCCCACCCCCCAAGGCUAUAGCCCACCCGCUUUUGUGGGCUUUUUCCGCUGGACGAACUUGGCGCCCCCGCCUUCGGGCGGUUAUUUUUUGGCGCGGCUGUGCCCGCGGCCUAUUUUUGGCACUCGGAGGCACCUCGCAAAGUGUCGCACCAUUCCAAAUCCGGCGGACGAAGUUGGCCAGCCCCACCCCCCAAGGCUAUAGCCCACCCGUUUUUGUGGGCUUUUUCCGCUGGACGAACUUGAUGCCCCGGGCUUCGGGUGGUUAUGUUUGGGCGCGGCUGUGCCCGCGGCCUAUUUUUGGCACACGGAGGUGCCUCGCAAUGUCUCGUGCCAUUCCGAGUCCAGCGGAUGAAGUUGGCCAACCCCACCCCCCGAGGCUAUAGCCCACCCGUUUUUGUGGCCUUUUUCCGCUGGACGAACAUGGCGCCCCGGUCUUCGGGCAGUUAUUUUUGGGCGCGGCUGUGCCCACGGCCUAUUUUUGGCACACGGAGGUGCCUCGCAAAGUCUGGCGGCAUUCCGAGUCCAGCGGACGAAGUUGGCGAGCCCCACCCCCCAUGGCUAUAGCCCACCCGUUUUUGUGGCCUUUUUCAGCUGGACGAAGUUGGCGCCCCGGUCUUCGGGCGGUUAUUUUUGGGCGCGGCUGUGCCUGUGGCCUAUUUUUGGCGCACGGAGGAGCCUCGCAAAGUCUCGCGCCAUUCCGAGUCCGGCGGACGAAGUUGGCCAGCCCCACCCCCCAAAGGCUAUAGCCCACCCGUUUUUGUGGCCUUUUUCCGCUGGACGAACUUGGCGCCCCGGCCUUCGGGCGGUUAUUUUUGGGCGUGGCUGUGCCCACGGCCUACUUUUGGCACACGGAGGUGCCUCACAAAGUGUCGCGCCAUUCCGAGUCCGGAGGACGAAGUUGGCCAGCCCCACCCCCGAGGGCUAUAGCCCACCCGAUUUUGUGGCCUUUUUCCGCUGGACGAACUUGGCGCCCCGGCCUUCGGGCGGUUAUUUUAGGGCGGGGCUGUGACCGCGGCCUAUGUUUGGCACACGGAGGCCCCUCGCAAAGUCUCCCGGCUUUCCGAGUCCGGCAGACGAAGUUGGCUAGCCCCACCCCCGAAGGCGAUAGCCCACCCGUUUUUGUGGCCUUUUUCCGCUGGACGAACUUGGCGCCCCAGCCUUCGGGUGGUUAUUUUUGGCACACGGAGGCCCCUCACAAAGUCUCGCGGCAUUCCGAGUCCGGCGGACGAAGUUGGCCAGCCCCACCCCCCAAGGAAAUAGCCCACCCGUGUUUGUGGCCUUUUUCCGGUGGACGAACUUGGCGCCCCGGCCUACGGGCGGUAUUUUUGCGCGCGGCUUUGACUGCGGCCUAUGUUUGGCACACGGAGGCCCCUCGCAAAGUCUCCCGGCUUUCCGAGUCUGGCAGACGAAGUUGGCUAGCCCCACCCCCGAAGGCGAUAGCCCACCCGUUUUUGUGGCCUUUUUCCGCUGGACGAACUUGGCGCCCCAGCCUUCGGGUGGUUAUUUUUUGGCGCGGCUUUGCCCGCGGCCUUUUUUUUGGCACACGGAGGCCCCUCGUAAAAUCUUGCGGCAUUCCGAGUCCGGCGGACGAAGUUAGCCAGCCCCACCCCCCAAGGCUAUAGCCCACCCGUUUUUGUGGACUUUUUCCGCUGGACGAACUUGGCGCCCCGUCCUUCGUGCGGUUAUUUUUCGGCGCGGCAUUGCCCGCGGCCUAUUUUUGGCACACAGAGGGCCCUUGCAAAGUCUCGCGGCAUUCCGAGACCGGCGGACGAAGUCGGCCAGCCCCAGCCCCCAAGGCUAUAGCCCCCCCGUUUUUGUGGCCUUUUUCCGCUGGGCGAACUUGGAGCCCCGGCCUUCAGGCGGUUAUUUUUGGGCGCGGCUUUCCCUGCGUCCUAUUUUUGGCACACGGAGACCCCUCGUAAAGUCUCGUGGCAUUCUGAGUCCGGCGGACGAAGUUGGCCAGCCCCACCCCCCAAGGCUACAGCCCACCCGUUUUUGUGGCCUUUUUCCGCUGGACGAACUUUACGCCCCGGCCUUCGGGGGGGUUAUUUUUGGGCGCGGCUUUGCCCGCGGCAUAUUUUUGGCACACGGAGGCCCCUCACAAAGACUCGCGGCAUUCCGAGUCCGGCGGACAAAGUUGGCCUGCCCCACCCCCCAAGGCUGUAGCCCACCCGUUUUUGUGGCCUUUUUCUGCUGGACGAACUUGGCGCCCCGGCCUUUGGGCGGUUAUUUUUCGGCGCGGCUGUGUUUGCGGCCUAUUUUUGUUACACGGAGGCCACUCGCAAAGUCUCGCGCCAUUCCGGGUCCGGCGGUCGAAGUUGGGCAGCCCCACCCCCCAAGGCUAUAGCCGACCCAUUUUUGUGGCCUUUUUCCAAUGGACGAACUUGGCGCCCCGGCCUUCGGGCGUUUAUUUUUGGGCCUGGCUGUGUCCGCGGCCUAUUUUUGGCACAUGGAGCCUGCUCGCAAAGUCUCGCGCCAUUCCGAGUCCGGCGUACGAAGUUGGCCAGCCCCACCCCCCAAGGCUAUAGCCCACCCGUUUUUGUGGCCUUUUUCCGCUGGACGAACUUGGCGCCCCGGCCUUCGGGAUGUUAAUUUUGGGCACGGCUGUGCCCGCGGCCUAUUUUUGGCAAAUGAAUCCCGCUCGCAAAGUCUCGCGCCAUUCUGAGUCCGGCGGAUGAAGUUGGCCAUCCCCACCCCCCAAGGCUAUAGCCCACCCGUUUUUGUGGCCUUUUUCCGCUGGACGAACUUGGUGCCCCGGCCUUCGGGCGGUUAUUUUUGGGUUCGGCUGUGCCCGCGGCCUAGGUUUGGCACACGGAGGCGCCUCGCAAAGUCUCACGCCAUUCCGAGUCCAGCGGACGAAGUUGGCCAGCCCCACCCCCCAAGGAAAUAGCCCACCCGUUUUUGUGGCCUUUUUCCGCUGGACGAACUUGGCGCCCCGGCCUUCGGCCAGUUAUUUUUGGGCUCGGCUGUGCCCGCGCCCUAUUUUUAGCACACGGAGGUACCUCGCAAUGUCUCGCGCCAUUCCGAGUCCGGCGGACGAAGUUGGCCAGCCCCACCCCCCAAGGCUAUCGCCCACCGGCUUUUGUGGGCUUUUUCCGCUGGACGAACUUGGCGCCCCCGCCUUCGGGCGGUUAUUUUUUGGCGCGGCUGUGCCCGCGGCCUAUUUUUGGCACUCGGAGGCACCUCGCAAAGUGUCGCACCAUUCCAAAUUCGGCGGACGAAGUUGGCCAGCCCCACCCCCCAAGGCUAUAGCCCACCCGUUUUUGUGGGCUUUUUCCGCUGGACGAACUUGAUGCCCCGGCCUUCGGGUGGUUAUGUUUGGGCGCGGCUGUGCCCGCGGCCUAUUUUUGGCACACGGAGGUGCCUCGCAAUGUCUCGUGCCAUUCCGAGUCCAGCGGAUGAAGUUGGCCAGCCCCACCCCCCGAGGCUAUAGCCCACCCGUUUUUGUGGCCUUUUUCCGCUGGACGAACUUGGCGCCCCGGUCUUCGGGCAGUUAUUUUUGGGCGCAGCUGUGCCCGCGGCCUAUUUUUGGCACACGGAGGUGCCUCGCAAAGUCUGGCGGCAUUCCGAGUCCAGCGGACGAAGUUGGCGAGCCCCACCCCCCAUGGCUAUAGCCCACCCGUUUUUGUGGCCUUUUUCCGCUGGACGAAGUUGGCGCCCCGGUCUUCGUGCGGUUAUUUUUGGGCGCGGCUGUGCCUGCGGCCUAUUUUUGGCGCACGGAGGAGCCUCGCAAAGUCUCGCGCCAUUCCGAGUCCGGCGGACGAAGUUGGCCAGCCCCACCCCCCAAAGGCUAUAGCCCACCCGUUUUUGUGGCCUUUUUCCGCUGGACGAACUUGGCGCCCCGGCCUUCGGGCGGUUAUUUUUGGGCGCGGCUGUGCCCACGGCCUAUUUUUGGCACACGGAGGUGCCUCACAAAGUGUCGCGCCAUUCCGAGUCCGGAGGACGAAGUUGGCCAGGCCCACCCCCGAAGGCUAUAGCCCACCCGAUUUUGUGGCCUUUUUCCGCUGGACGAACUUGGCGCCCCGGCCUUCGGGCGGUUAUUUUAGGGCGGGGCUGUGACCGCGGCCUAUGUUUGGCACACGGAGGCCCCUCGCAAAGUCUCCCGGUUUCCGAGUCCGGCAGACGAAGUUGGCUAGCCCCACCCCCGAAGGCGAUAGCCCACCCGUUUUUGUGGCCUUUUUCCGCUGGACGAACUUGGCGCCCCAGCCUUCGGGUGGUUAUUUUUGGCACACGGAGGCCCCUCACAAAGUCUUGCGGCAUUCCGAGUCCGGCGGACGAAGUUGGCCAGCCCCAGCCCCCAAGGCUAUAGCCGACCCAUUUUUGUGGCCUUUUUCCAAUGGACGAACUUGGCGCCCCGGCCUUCGGGCGUUUAUUUUUGGGCCUGGCUGUGUCCGCGGCCUAUUUUUGGCACAUGGAGCCUGCUUGCAAAGCCUUGCGCCAUUCCGAGUCCGGCGGACGAAGUUGGCCAGCCCCACCCCCCAAGGCUAUAGCCCACCCGUUUUUGUGGCCUUUUUCCGCUGGACGAACUUGGUGCCCCGGCCUUCGGGAGGUUAUUUUUGGGCGCGGCUAUGUCCGCGGCCUAUUUUUGGCACACGGAGGCCGCUCGUAAAGUCUCUCGCCAUUCCGAGUCCGGCGGACGAAAUUGGCCAGCCCCACCCCCCAAGGCUAUAGCCCACCCGUUUUUGUGGCCUUUUUCCAAUGGACGAACUUGGCGCCCCGGCCUUCGGGCGUUUAUUUUUGGGCCCGGCUGUGCCCGCGGCCUAUUUUUGGCACAUGGAGCUUGCUCGCAAAGUCUCGCGCCAUUCCGAGUCCGGCGGACGAAGUUGGCCAGCCCCACCCCCCAAGGCUAUAGCCCACCCGUUUUUGUGGCCUUUUUCCGCUGGACGAACUUGGCGCCCCGGCCUUCGGGAGGUUAUUUUUGGGCGCGGCUAUGCCCGCGGCCUAUUUUUGGCACACGGAGGCCGCUCGUAAAGUCUCGCGCCAUUCCGAGUCCGGCGGACGAAGUUGGGCAGCCCCACCCCCCAAGCCUAUAGCCGACCCAUUUUUGUGGCCUUUUCCCAAUGGACGAACUUGGCGCCCCGGCCUUCGGGCGUUUAUUUUGGGGCCUGGCUGUGUCCGCGGCCUAUUUUUGGCACAUGGAGCCUGCUCGCAAAGUCUCGCGCCAUUCCGAGUCCGGCGGACGAAGUUGGCCAGCCCCACCCCCCAAGGCUAUAGCCCACCAGUUUUUGUGGCCUUUUUCCGCUGGAGGAACUGGACGCCCCGCCCUUC